GCAAGUUCAUUGGCUGAACACUUCGGUCUCUUCGGCAGUCUGCGAUAGGGUUAUCGGCGGUGGACGUGAGGAUUAACCGGCGCAGCAGUGAUGGCAGAGGGCAGUGGGUCUCGAGUUCGUCUGGGGAGGUCUGGGCGGGCGGUGGCUGGUCGAGAAACUGUUGUUGCAUGAGUAUUUUAAAUGAGAGGGUGAGCCUUUCAAGGCCGGUUUGUGCAUGAAUUUGUCAACUAAAAGGAUGCAGAUGAAGUGGCGUGACCACAGGAACAAAAUCGAUUGUGGGGUCUACCUCAUGAGGCACAUGGAGAGUUAUUCUGGAGAAGGUGUAAAUUCCUGGGUUUCCGGGUUAAAAAAGGGUGAUAGGUCUGAGCUUAAUCGUUUGCGUUUGCAUUAUAUAAAGGAGAUUUGCACUGCUGAUGUUAACGCACACCGUACGAGCAAUGUUGCGCGUGCACUCGCCUUUCAAUAACGGUCUUCCGGUGGCACUUGAUUGCCUACGUCAUUUGUUCAUUUUUGAUUUGUGUUCUUUUGGUCACUAGAUAUGGGAUUUUCGAUCAUGUUUAUUCCACUAUUGGUUACUCUUUCGUCAUAUUUUGGACAUGGAACUACUACACUUUUGGAUUUAGCUUCGUUUAUGUUUUUUUUGAACGACGUGUUUUCGAUUUAUGAUUAUGAUAUUACUAUUCAUGCCA